rnacentral:rRNA from 1 species
GUCGAGAAUCUUCCGCAAUGCGCGAAAGCGUGACGGAGCGACACCACGUGAUGGAUGAAGUCCUUCGGGGCGUAAACAUCUUUUAUAAAGGAGGAAAUUUUUGACGUUACUUUAUGAAUAAGUGGCUCCCAAUCUCGUGCCAGCAGGAGCGGUAAUACGAGAGCCUCAAGCGUUAUCCGGAAUCAUUGGGCGUAAAGGGUGCGUAGGUGGUUUGAUUAGUCUCCCGUUAAAACUUCGAGCUUAACUCGAAAAGAGCGGGGGAAACGGUCAAACUAGAGUAUGUGAGAGGUGUGUGGAACUCAUGGUGUAGGGGUGAAAUCCGUUGAUAUCAUGGGGAACACCAAAAGCGAAGGCAGCACACUGGCACAUCACUGACACUGAGGCACGAAACCUAAGGUAGCGAAUGGGAUUAGAAACCCCAGUAGUCC